UGUUGUGAAAUGNUGGGUUAAGUCCCGCAACGAGCGCAACCCUUAUCCUUUGUUGCCAGCACGUAAUGGUGGGAACUCAAAGGAGACUGCCGGUGAUAAACCGGAGGAAGGUGGGGAUGACGUCAAGUCAUCAUGGCCCUUACGAGUAGGGCUACACACGUGCUACAAUGGCAUAUACAAAGAGAAGCGAACUCGCGAGAGCAAGCGGACCUCAUAAAGUAUGUCGUAGUCCGGAUUGGAGUCUGCAACUCGACUCCAUGAAGUCGGAAUCGCUAGUAAUCGUAGAUCAGAAUGCUACGGUGAAUACGUUCCCGGGCCUUGUCACACCGCCCGUCACACCAUGGGAGUGGGUUGCAAAAGAAGUAGGUAGCUUAACCUUCGGGAGGGCGCUUACCACUUUGUGAUUCAUGA
rnacentral:rRNA from 1 species